AUGCUAGUUCCAGCAAAUCUCGCAAAUCUCGACGCUGGUUCCAACAUUAUCACAUCACACCCUGUUGAAGCAUCUGCGCGCCACUCGUGGCUUUUUCGCCGGCCGAUUGCAGCUUCCACGUCCCGUUUGCAGCACGGGUUGCCGUCGCCAUGGCAGCACGCACGGCCGGUCGGUGCUUCCGCUCCAGGCAACGGCGGCGUCGACGCAUCACAGCUUGCAGCUUUUUUUUACUCUCCUCCACUCACCGUGGCGACGGCCGCCGUCGAGCCAAUGGCCGCGGGUACGUGGAAGAAGGGCAAGGAGGAGCAGAGGUGUUGUAGCACAAGGCGGGGGACAUGA
rnacentral:rRNA from 1 species